GCCUAUGAAUGAUAAUAAAUUAAAUAAAUAAAUAAAUAAAAACUAUUUUGUUAAAAAAAAAUAAAUAAAAAAAUUAUUAAAUAAAAACAAAAAACCCGACUGCGUAAAAACCAAAAAAACUAAAAAGAAAAAUUUAUAAGCCCAGUAGUUUAGAAUGUUAUUAAGUACUACUGAAUAACUACGCCGUUGAAAUAGUUUUAUAACCGUACACAGAUAAGGCAGUAACACAGAUAAUCAUAAAUUCAAAAGCAGAAUAGAAGGAUCAACAGUCGGGGCCCAUUCCUUUCUGAUUCAAGGAACCCCGUAAAAAAAAUUUGAAUGAGCCCCGACUGUUGAUCCUUCUAUUCGGCUUUUGAAUUUAUGAUUUGUGAAAUUCUCCCUCCCCUCCCCAAGAAAAAUAAUUAAAUAAUAAUAAUGAUAAUAAUAAUAAUAAUAAUUUAAAAUGAAUAAUUAAAUAAAUCGGGAACAAAGAUAAGUUAAAAGAUAAAAUUGAAAAUAUCUUGAUUGGAUGCUUUUUCCCCUCAUUUCUUCUGAAGACUGACUACCUUGGUAUAAGAGUACAGAGGUAUCCCCCCUCCCCCAAAGACCACAAAGCACCCAAAGAAUGAGAGCCUGCCCCCCAAAAAAGGAAAAUGUCCCAAACCCCCCUUAAAAAUUUCAAUGUCGAGGUCUGCGGCAUGCCCUUCCCCCACUCAUGGUGGGCAGGGGUAGGGGCAUCCCUAAAAAAUGAUGGACACAGAAAUGAACAGGAAAUUUGAAUGAAGGUCAAAAAGGUUGCUCACCGGCUAUCGCUUCUAUUCGAAGAGCCAUGCGCUGACAGUGGGCGGCUGCUCAGCCUCACUCUGAUUGGCAGAUAGCCGAGGGUGUGUUGCUGCGCUUCCUGUGAAAAAGUCUUCCUCGGUUAUUUUCAACUGCCGCAGAAACUGGAUUGCUGUGUUUGGUGUCGGCUUGCAACGGGACGAGCCGGAAAUAUGAUGUGUGACACAUUUCAUGGUUCAGUAUUGUUUUGGAAUUGCAAACAGUGCACAAAUGUAAAAUCGCAUAUUUCUCACAGAAUGAAAGCGGCGUGAGUGGCUAGCUGACUGUUUUCGGUGCAAGCAGGGUGCAAUACAGAAGCAUCGAUUUUUUUCCACCUUCGUUUAUUUUGUUUACUUCGGUGCAAUAUGCAUGUGGAUUGGAGCAUCGUAAAUGCACACCCCGUGAUGCGAAGGGAAUCUGUUGUGGGUCCAGGAGAUCGAGUCAACUAUGUGAAUUUGCCUCAUGUAAUUGCCAUGGUGGGUUUGCCUGCUCGGGGCAAAACUUACAUCGCAAAAAAAUUAACCCGAUAUUUGAACUGGAUUGGUAUUACCACAAGAGUGUUCAAUGUUGGUGAAUAUCGACGCCAAGCUACUGAAGCAUACAAGAACCAUGAAUUUUUCAAUCCCAACAACAGGGAAGCAAUGGCGAUCAGGAAUAAAUGUGCAUUAGAUGCGCUUGAAGAUAUGUGCAAGUGGCUUGAGCAAGAUGGAGAAGUAGCUGUUUAUGAUGCCACGAACACCACUUAUGACAGGCGAAAAUUAAUUCAUGAAAUUGUAUGUGAAAAAUUUGGAGCAAAAUUGUUUUUUGUUGAAUCUACUUGUGAUGACCCAAGCAUAAUCGAAGCAAAUUUGAAGGAAGUGAAAGUAAACAGCCCUGAUUAUCGAAAUCGAAAUGUUGAAGAAGCUCUCUCAGACUUCAUGUUUCGCAUUGAGCACUAUGUCAAAGUGUAUCAGCCACUUGACGAAAAUAUUGAAAGCAAUUACUCUUUUAUGCAGGUUUAUAAUGCUGGACAAAAAGUUUUCGUUCAUCGACAUGAAGGUCAUAUCCAGAGCAGAAUUGUUUAUUAUCUGAUGAAUAUUCACAUUAUUCCUCGUUCUAUUUAUCUUACAAGGCAUGGGGAGAGCGAGUUUAAUGCUUUAGGGAGAAUAGGAGGAGAUUCUGAAUUAUCGGAAAGAGGAUGGGAAUAUGCAAAAAUGUUGGCUAAGUACAUAAAAGAACAACAGAUUCCUCGACUACGAAUUUGGACCAGCUUACUGAAAAGGACAGUGCAAACUGCUUCUGGUAUAAUUGCACCCCAGGAACGUUGGAAAGCUCUUAAUGAAAUAGAUGCUGGCAUUUGUGAAGAGAUGACAUAUGAAGAAAUCAAAGAAAAAUAUCCACAAGAAUUUUCUGCCAGAGAUUCAGACAAGUUCAAGUACAGAUAUCCAAGAGGAGAAUCGUAUGAAGACUUAGUUUCAAGAUUGGAACCUGUCAUAAUGGAACUUGAAAGGCAAGAAAACGUUCUAGUCGUAGCUCACCAGGCCGUUUUAAGAUGUUUGCUGGCUUAUUUUAUGGACAAAAAUUCGACUGAAAUCCCAUACCUGAAAGUGCCCUUGCACACUAUCCUGAAGUUAACAAGGGCUGCAUACGGAUGUGAGAUUGAAGAAAUCAGAGUACCUGUUGAAGCAGUAGAUGAUCACUCACUCAUCUAAGAUGCUUAAGGAAAGAAGUAUUAUGACACAAGUGCCUUAUAGAGUUACUUGAUAAUAGGUUUUAUCUACGUGUUAUUUGUGUGUGAUGUCAAAUUUUGACUAUAAGUAUGAGUUAGAAGGAUAAGAUAUCUUCUAUAGAUCAUAGACUUUUAACAAUAAUGCUUCUUUUUUGUACUUAGUAAAACAUUUCCACAAAAAAUGCUCAUUUUUUUUAUAAGCAUUUUUAUUAUUCAUAUAUUAUGAAGUUAUCUAAAUAACUAUUAUACUUCAGCAUAUUUGACACAGGGUAAUUGGGUAUUUGAAUCAUGAAUAUACUGAUAAUAAUACUACUUUUUCUCUUUUUAAAAUGUAUUUUUCGUGGUUUAUAGCAAUUUUUUAGCUUUCCCAAAUUGAAAAAUGUACUAGACAUUUUUAUUAUUAUUUAUUAUUAUUACUAUUAUUAUUAUUAUUAUUUUUUUGCUUUAAAAACAUUUUAAAUUUAGUUUUAUUGCAAUAUGAAAAUGUACUUAAAGAAAUAAUAAGGUUAUCAUACAAAUAACAAACAUUAAAAAAAAAAAAAGAAUUUUGAACAUAUGGAUAUGCUUCACAAUUUUGUCUUCCUAAAAUAUUUCUUUAUACUAUUUUAAACUUCAUAAAUCAAUUUUGAUUGGCAUUUUUUGACAGGAAUAUCAAUUAUUGUACUGCAAAUUUAAUGGCAAGGACAUAUGAAUAAUAAAAUAUUGUGCAAAAGGGUUAGAAAAUUUUUUUUUAACUGUUUCAUUUUCUUGACAAGAUAUAUUUUGAAAGUAGAAAGUACUAUUUUUCCAAAAUUUUAAUAGUUUAAAUGAAAAAGCUUGCGUGGUUGAAAUGAAAAUGUACACUGAAGAAAUCUUGUUAUUUAUUCAACAUGUUUGUUAAAUCCACAGUGCCAUUGUGUAGACUAUUUCUUACUUGUAAUAUGCCUUUUUUAAUGCAUUGCAUGUUUAAAUAAGUUAAAGCCAAAUGUACAGUAUUAUUUUAUGUAGAAUUUUUUAUUAAAUAUUUUAACUUUUGGUGUUACAUACUUUGUAAAAUCUUGUGGUGUGCCCAAGUUUUGUCUUGAUAUUUAAUUAGAGUUAUGUUAUUGAAGAACCAAGUUUUUAGUUAUUGAAAGAACUAUAAAUUCUGCAAUGUCUGGCCAGUAAUUUUUCCGAAACAAUAUUUUUGGUGUUUGUUAUACUUUUCUAUUUCAAUUAUAUACCUCUGAUCAAACCUUUCUGAGAAUUGAACUGAAUUUUCAAGAAAGGUAAAUAAAAUUCAAGAAGUAUCAAAUAUUGUUUUUAAUAAUAAAAUGUUAAACAUUAAAAAAGAAGUUAAUAAAAUGUUGAAUUUUAAUAAUAAGUUAGUAUAGAAGAAGCAAGGGUUAAAUAAUGUGCAAAAUACUUCACAGGAUUCUUUUUUUUUUUUUUUAAAUGUCUAUGGACUACGAAAGCGGUUAUAGUAAUGAUAUAAAGUGGAUUAAAGCUCUUACUGAAUUAAAAUGCCUAAGUAACAAGUCUUUCAAUGCAUGUGUGGAACAACCUGCUCAUUGUUUAAAAUGAAUAUUGUAAAAAUCCACUCAAAUUUUACUUUUGCUUGCUGUUUCACAUUUUAUGUUUCUUAAGUUAAAAAACAAUGCCAAUGGUUUUCAAAAAAUUAAUUUAAUAUCUAUGUAUCUAAGCAUUUAUUGUUAAAAAGUAAAUAAAUAACAAAGUAAUAAUUUAAGAUUCAUGAAACCUGGCGUUUAGAACAAAAAAAAAGUUUUUAGGGAGGUGAUAUUAGUGUUUAGCGUUUGUUUUUAGCAAAGCUUCUCAUUUCUUUGUUACAAGAAACAAAGGACAACUAUUACGUAAUGUAAUGUAUACUGGACAUUUCUUUAUUUUGUUCAAUUUUAUAAAGAAAAAUAUCAAUCACUGAAGAUAUCUCUCAGUUUCAAACAUUCCUUUCUGAGAAAUACUUGUGAACAAUAGAAGAUAUAAAGUAAAUAAUAGCUUUUUUUACAUAGUAGUACAGUGCACACAGAAAACUUAGAAAGCAUUUAUCAUAAAAAUAUACAAUUUAUGUUCUCUUGACUUUUAAUUUGUAAAAUUUAUUUGUAAAGCCAAUUUAUUGAAUAAUUGGAUUCAAUCUACAUCAGCUUGGUCAUAAAAGUUUCUGUAAAUAUGGCUACUAGAAGAAUCCAAAACUAAAAUGCUGUAUAAAAUUAUAGCAAAAGUGCAAUUUAUGUGUACAAAAUGUAACUGAGUAAUAAACACUAGAGGAGGGAGGAUAUUACAAAAUAAAAAUUACUGAUCAGUCAUUUUACAUUAAAAAAGUAAUUAAAACAAAAAAGCAAAGUGUGUUGAAUCUGAAUUUUAAAACAUAAGUCAUAUCUAUUUUAUGUUUCAUCUCAAAAAUAAUUACUUUGUUAAUAAACCUUCACAGUAUUUAUUUUCAUUGAUUUUUUUUUUUUUUUUUUUGUCUCUAGUCCCGAUUAAAAUCAGUUGGUUUUCACUAAAAUUAUAUGCAUUUCAAAUUAUAUUUCAUGUAUUUUCUAAAAUGACAUGCAGAAUUUAAAAACUUGUGUUAGUCUUUUGAUUUUAUUUCCUCGUGCAAUAAACUUCAUAUUUUUUAAAAACGUUUUUUAUUACAACAAGAUUUUAGAGAUUAUAUUAACUUAUUUAACAUAUUCAUUGAAUUCUUUAUAGUAUGUUAAAGUAUUACAUGCUUAAACUAUCAUAGUUAAAGCACUGUUACCAAAAUAUGUUUUUGAAUAAGUUGCUUACUUUUAAUUUUUAUAAAUGAAAGUGCUUCUAUUAAAAAAAAACUUUUUAUAAAACUAUUUAUAUAUGUACAUUAUGUACUUAUAGGUGAUAUUGUGUUGAUUAAAAGUAAUUUUGAAAUAA